CCUACGGGAGGCAGCAGUGGGGAAUUUUCCGCAAUGGGCGAAAGCCUGACGGAGCAAUACCGCGUGAGGGAGGAAGGCUCUUGGGUUGUAAACCUCUUUUCUCAGGGAAGAACACAAUGACGGUACCUGAGGAAUCAGCAUCGGCUAACUCCGUGCCAGCAGCCGCGGUAAUACGGAGGAUGCAAGCGUUAUCCGGAAUGAUUGGGCGUAAAGCGUCCGCAGGUGGCUGUGUAAGUCUGCUGUCAAAGAGCAAGGCUCAACCUUGUAAAGGCAGUGGAAACUACAGAGCUAGAGUACGUUCGGGGCAGAGGGAAUUCCUGGUGUAGCGGUGAAAUGCGUAGAGAUCAGGAAGAACACCGGUGGCGAAAGCGCUCUGCUAGGCCGUAACUGACACUGAGGGACGAAAGCUAGGGGAGCGAAUGGGAUUAGAUACCCUGGUAGUC
rnacentral:rRNA from 1 species